rnacentral:misc_RNA from 1 species
UUGGGAUUAUUGGGGAAGGUUUAUGCAGUAUUUAGUUUCUAAAGUUCCAGUAAUGGUGGUAGAAGGGAACCAUGAAAUUGAACCUCAAGCUGGAAACCAAACAUUUGUUGCUUACAGUUCUCGAUUUGCAUUCCCAUCAGAAGAAAGUGGAUCUUCUUCAACAUUCUACUACUCUUUCAAUGCUGGUGGGAUACAUUUCAUUAUGCUUGGAGCAUACAUUGCUUAUAACAAAUCAGAUGAUCAAUAUAAGUGGCUGGAGAUAGACUUGGCUAAUGUUGACAGAUCUAGAACUCCAUGGCUAGUAGCUGCAUGGCAUCCACCUUGGUAUAGUUCUUACAAAGCCCACUAUAGAGAGGCAGACUGUAUGAGGGUGGCAAUGGAAGAAUUGCUUUACUCAUAUGGUGUUGAUAUAGUCUUCAAUGGACAUGUUCAUGCAUAUGAGAGGUCGAAUCGAGUUUAUAACUACACAUUGGAUCCAUGUGGCCCUGUGUAUAUCACAGUUGGAGAUGGGGGUAACCGAGAGAAGAUGGCUAUUGAACAUGUUGAUGAGCCUGGCAAUUGUCCAGAGCCAUCAACUACUCCUGAUCCUUACAUGGGUGGCUUUUGUGCAAUUAACUUCACAACAGGCCCAGCAGCCGGUAAAUUCUGUUGGGAUGGACAACCUGAUUACAGUGCUUUCCGUGAAAGUAGCUUUGGCCAUGGAAUUCUGGAGGUGAAGAAUGAGACUUGGGCUUUAUGGACAUGGCACCGGAAUCAAGACUCUGAUGGGAAAAUUGGUGAUCAGAUCUAUAUAGUGAGACAGCCUGAUAAAUGCCCUAAACAGAGCACUAGAACUAAAUGCUGGUUUGCUGACAUUUAAAUGGUUUUAGUAGGAAAUAAUAAUAGAUGAAAGUGCUGCAACCUCUUAACCAUAUGGAAGAUGAUGGAAGAGGAAAAACAGAUGACUUCUGACCACUACAUGUAGAUAAAUACAACGGGUGGGGCAACAGGCAUCUUGUCUUUUGAUGGAUCAUUCCUCAUACAACACUCAACACACUAGGAAAAAGAAAAAUUACUAGCCAUUUUUGCAUUGUAAAUUGUAAAGUACAGAUUAUGGAGUGCUAUUUACAGAAUUUAUAGUUUAUAUUG